AGGCGGUUACGGAGUUUCUUCCAUAGUGUUGCUAACGUCCAGCGGACUUUUAAUCCGCUGGUCGCUGGUUCGAUUCCAGCACGGCCCACCA
rnacentral:tRNA from 8 species